rnacentral:rRNA from 1 species
AACGAACGCUGGCGGCAGGCUUAACACAUGCAAGUCGAACGCCCCGCAAGGGGAGUGGCAGACGGGUGAGUAACGCGUGGGAACGUGCCCUUCGCUUCGGAAUAGCCCCGGGAAACUGGGAGUAAUACCGGAUACGCCGUAUUGGGAAAGAUUUAUCGGCGAAGGAUCGGCCCGCGUUAGAUUAGCUAGUUGGCGGUGUAAUGGACCACCAAGGCUACGAUCUAUAGCUGGUCUGAGAGGAUGAUCAGCCACACUGGGACUGAGACACGGCCCAGACUCCUACGGGAGGCAGCAGUGGGGAAUCUUGGACAAUGGGCGCAAGCCUGAUCCAGCCAUGCCGCGUGAGUGAAGAAGGCCUUAGGGUUGCAAAACUCUUUCGCCGGAGAAGAUAAUGACGGUAUCCGGAGAAGAAGCCCCGGCUAACUUCGUGCCAGCCGCCGCAGUAACAC